GACGCUGCCCGGUGGCCUCGGCGGGGGCCCUGUCCUUGGCUGCUGCGUCUCUGAAUCCCAGGUGAGAAGAAUAAAACGUCCUGACGCUGUCCGGCUUCCGGUUCUUGGAGAGGACGGGCCGUCUCUGCCGAGAGAACUGUGCGGAAUCAGGAAGCGCUGGUGCUCCUUCGCUUUCACGGGACUAAGCGAAAUCCGGCUUUAAACGAAGUAAAGCCGGCUGCCUCCUGGAGUAUUUUUGUCAUAGUAUUUUAAUUUUGGGUCAGGGUAUUCUGCUGCGGACCCUGAGUCAUAGGAAGGAGGCUUAUAACAGCGGAAAGCCUUUUUUUUUUUUUUUUAAAGAAUUGCUGAGUUUUCCGGAUUGUACUUUCAAAGACUUUCCCUAAAACUUUGCGUGGCAUGGGGGUUGCAGAAACUGGUGUCUACACAUUACAAAAGUGUACUGUUUACACCUAUUUGUGAUGCACCUAUCGUGUUUUUCUCCAUGGACCACCUAUUAAGCUUCCUGCUGGAGCGCUCUUGGCCCCCUUCCUGCUUUCUGGGCCACAUCCUAUUGUAAAUCGGUGCUACUUGUGGGGUUUUGUUUGUGAAUUGGGGAUAUUUAAGGAACAAUUUAUUGAAACAACUGAAGACUUUGUUUCCUCCUUUGGGUUUUACUUUUAAAAUAAAUUCGGUUAGGAAAAAGUA
rnacentral:lncRNA from 1 species